AGUCGUGGGGCAGCGCAGGUAGCAAUACUGGGCGGCGACCGGCAAACGGGUGCGGAACACGUACACAACCUUCCUACAAGUGGGGAAUAGCCCAGAGAAAUUUGGAUUAAUACCCCGUAACAUAACGAUGUGGCGUCACAUUGUUAUUAUAGCUUCGGCGCUUGUUGAUGGGUGUGCGGCUGAUUAGAUAGUUGGCGGGGUAACGGCCCACCAAGUCUACGAUCAGUAGCUGAUGUGAGAGCAUGAUCAGCCACACGGGCACUGAGACACGGGCCCGACUCCUACGGGAGGCAGCAGUAAGGAAUAUUGGUCAAUGGACGCAAGUCUGAACCAGCCAUGUCGCGUGAAGGAUUAAGGUCCUCUGGAUUGUAAACUUCUUUUAUUUGGGACGAAAAAAGGGCAUUCUUGCUCACUUGACGGUACCAGAUGAAUAAGCACCGGCUAACUCCGUGCCAGCAGCCGCGGUAAUACGGAGGGUGCAAGCGUUAUCCGGAUUCACUGGGUUUAAAGGGUGCGUAGGCGGGCAGUUAAGUCAGUGGUGAAACCCUAGAGCUUAACUCUAGAACUGCCAUUGAUACUAUCUGUCUUGAAUAUUGUGGAGGUAAGCGGAAUAUGUCAUGUAGCGGUGAAAUGCUUAGAUAUGACAUAGAACACCUAUUGCGAAGGCAGCUUACUACGCAUAUAUUGACGCUGAGGCACGAAAGCGUGGGGAUCAAACAGGAUUAGAUACCCUGGUAGUCCACGCCCUAAACGAUGAUUACUCGACAUUUGUGAUACACUAUAAGUGUCUGAGCGAAAGCAUUAAGUAAUCCA
rnacentral:rRNA from 1 species